rnacentral:lncRNA from 1 species
AACGAUGGCAAAUGCAAAAGAAAAGGGCAAAUUGUGUGAUCAAAUACAACUCCCUGUAAACAAAGAUGGGUUGUGUGUUGAUUCUGAAUGCCAAAAUAAGUGUCGCGAGGCAAAAGGACCGAAGGGGUUGAGUAAAUGUUUUGGGUCAAAAGCCAAAAAGUCUAUGAAUUGCUAUUGCGGAAUUCUUUGUUAACGUGCUGGUUAAGUAUGGUGAAUAAAUAUGAUGCUCAACCAUGAUAGCUUUGAAGUAUUUUUUUUUAUUUUUCUCUGUUUUUUUUCCUGUACUAGAAAAACACUAUAAUAUUUUUAUUCGAAGCCUUAUAAUAAAGUAUUGAAAUGUUUGUUUCGGAUUUGUUGCAUUAUUUAUAAUAAUGAAUAACAUAAAUUUUAAUCAAGACACAAUGGUUAGUAUAAUCAGUGAACUUUUAUCUUUUUAUUGUAUUUAGUUAAUUCCGGCCAAUUGAACUUAAUAUCUUGUUCACUUAUUUUUUCUAUUUGGGCUAAAAUAAUAUUACCGUCCACAAAAAUAAGAAUCUGAAAGUGAAAUUAACUUUCUGAUUUUUUUUUUAAAUAUAUCAAUGACAAACCAUUCUUUAAAAUCCGACCCCAGUGAAAACGUCGUAUGUUACUAAAGGAAAGAAAGACAAAUGAAAAAAAAGAAUAAUUAAUUCCCUAGACAUUAUUUGAGAAGUAAUUUAUCAUAUGUCAUCACCAAAAUGAUUUUGAAAGAAAAAUGAUAACAUGGACUAUAACUAAUUAUGACAUGAAUAUUUACAUUUAAUGUUAUUUAUAUUUUUAGUAAGUUUUUUAGAAUAAGGUAAUACCUCAUAAAUAUAACUAAUUUAAAAAUAAAUCUUUUAAGAAAAAUUAAAAAUAACAAUAAUUGUUUUUUAAAAAAUCGAAAAUUUAUAUAAUUCUGUUUAUAUAUUUUUAUUACAAAAACAAAACGUCAAAAUUUUAGGCAGAUUUUUCUUAAAAAAAAUAAUUGUAAUUUUUAAUCCCACUACCAUUAAUUUCUUUUUAAUAUCUAAAAAUUUUAGAAAUAUUCUUUAGUUUUAAUUUUUGAUAAUUAUACCUAACCAAAAUUUCUCUCAAUUUAAUAGAAUUUGAUUUAGUAUAUUUUAACAAAAAAAUAGAUAAAAAGUCUUUCCAAGAUUGUAGUUUUAAAUAUAUAUACAUAUAUUAUUAAAUAUAUAUUUUAAAUGAUUUAUUUUUUCUUAAUUUUUACGUUAUUAAAUUCAAAUUUAAAAUGAAAUAUUGUAUGAAAAUACUAAAAUUUAUAAAUUAACAAAAUUUUAUAAAUGAUUUAAGGUUUAAGACUUUUUUUUUGGUGGUGAAGGAAAACACUUAGUUUAAUAGUUAAUGAAGAGAUUAUUAUAUAUUAUGGCAUACCUAUGAAUUAAAAGAUUCGUAAAAAAUAACAUUUGUGUAGACAACAAAGAGAAAAGUAAUUUUACUAAAAAUUAUAUUAUAAACUUAAUAUACAUAAUCCACUCAUAACGCAGACAAAACCUUUAUUAGUUUCUAUUAAGAACUUGAAUAGAUGUGUCGCAAGUUUCAUAAUACUUUUUAAUUAUAUUGAUAUUAUUAUAUUUAUAUCUUAACUGAAUAAUAUUUAACUCUGACCCACUUAAUAUGUCAUUCUCAAAUGUAGAAUUGUAACUUUUAAUUUCGUGUUUCUUUUGUUAACAUUUUAUAUAUUUUUUGUGCACCAAGUUCCUAUAUAUUUACAAUUAGAUAUCAUAUAUGCCGAAUUUUUUUGGAAGUGGGACCCCAUAAACUGGAGGCCCCAUUCAAAUGUUUUAAAAUACUACAUACAAGCUCGACUCUGGACUUGAGUUGCGUAAGACCGCAAACUAAGGUGUAUUUGAUCUGUGUUUGAUUGAUCUGCACCCGACUAGCACAUGAUGUGUAUAUCUAACUGAGCAGUACUGCAUUGCCCGACAGAGGCAUAUAUACUGAAGACAUCAUUGAUCCCACUAUAUUGCAAACUAGAACCCUCAUAUUCCAAACAAAUGAUAACUAAAAGAAAGUAAUGGAUUGGGUCGAGGCACCGGUCUAGGCUAAAAUGACUAGUUGGUUUUUAUUUUUUAAUGUGUGAGGCCAUUGAACGUUAUUUUUUAAUCAUGCUACCUUUUCGUAUGUUUUAGAAGAUGAAGACAAAUUAUGUGAAUACCGAAAAAGAAAGGAAAUAAAAUAAAAAUAAAUCACAAAAAAUAAUAGUAUAUUUCAUUUUUAGCGAGAAACUGUAUCUAUGGAAAGAGAAGAAUAAAUUAGAUGAAGAGAAUACUUUUACCUUACAUAUAAAAAAGGAAAAGAAUAAAAUAGACGAAGAUAAUAUUAUUAUUUUUACCCAGACAUAUUUUUUACAUAGAGAUUAAUUAAACAUCUCAAUGUUUUAUAUCAAACUGCAACAAAAUGAUCUUUGAAUUUUUUUUGAUUAAAUUUUAUAGCCUAAUUUUUGAAUCCCAACAAUUACAGUACACAAUUUUUCAAACUACCAUAAGAUAGCAAUUUUUUUACAAUAUUAAAAAUAAUUAGUUUACGCAUAUGACAUUUACCAUUAUAUUUAUUUAUAGAAACAUAAGUGAACGAGUCCAAAGCUUUCACGUAUUAGAUGAGCAAGAAAAAUGGAAAUUUUUCAAAAUUAGAUUCGGUUAAAGCGGAACAUAAUAAAGUGAAUUGCUUAAAUUAGCUAUUUUAUAUAUAUAUAUAUAUAUAUAUUCAUGUUACCAAAACAGAAAAAUACAUCACCUUUCCUUUUAGAGUUUAAAAUCAUUAUCAAUUCACUUCUGUCAUAUAUGAUGAAGAAAACCCCUCAACUCUCGUUUACAGUCUUUACUAUCUUCAUCAUUCUUGUGUUAGGUUUGUAUUUAUAAUUUAAGUUUAUCUUAACAUUUACAUAUACUCGUUAUAACAUAAACUGAUCUUGAAUAAUGUGAUUUUGAUAUUUUUAAAAUAUCAUUCAGGCUAUAUUUUGUAAAAUACAUCAUAAUUUAUAUAGUGUAGAAGUUGUUAUUUCAAGUAUCUCUUUUAUGUAAAUUUCAUAACAUACAUAAAAGCUAGAAAACCAAGUUUAGAGGUUUUGUAUAAAUAUAUAUGGUCUUCAUAAUUUAUGAAGAUCUAUAAUAUAGAAAUGGUUCCACAUAUUUCCACUUUUUAUCAUCUAUCUUUCAGUUUUUUUUUAAAACAUAUAAAUUUGGUAACAUGUGUUUUUCAUAACUAUAAAUGCCCUUUUAAGUAGAUUUAUAAUAUAUAUAACGUUAUAUUUGUACAUUUUUGUAGUAAUAUGUUACUUUUCCAAAAAAGAAAAUAAUUAAAAACAUAUUCAUAUGUUAUUCUCACUUUAUCAGUAAUAUUCAGAAAUUAUUCAGAGUAGAAAAAAAACUUUGCUGAUUAAAUCAUACAUAUGCUCUUUUUUUCGUUACUUCAAUCUCUAUUUUUAUAUAUUAGUAAUGAUUCUUAAAAUAAAAAUUUUUAAUCAGUUUUUUUGAUAAAUAAAUUUUAUAUUUGUGUUAAAAAAAGUUAUUUUCCAGAGAAAGAGAAAAUAAGUUUUUUUUUUCUAUUUGACUACAAAAUCUGAUAUUUUAUAUUCAAUAGGAACGAUGGCAAAUGCAAAAGAAAAGGGCAAAUUGUGUGAUCAAAUACAACUCCCUGUAAACAAAGAUGGGUUGUGUGUUGAUUCUGAAUGCCAAAAUAAGUGUCGCGAGGCAAAAGGACCGAAGGGGUUGAGUAAAUGUUUUGGGUCAAAAGCCAAAAAGUCUAUGAAUUGCUAUUGCGGAAUUCUUUGUUAACGUGCUGGUUAAGUAUGGUGAAUAAAUAUGAUGCUCAACCAUGAUAGCUUUGAAGUAUUUUUUUUUUAUUUUUCUCUGUUUUUUUUCCUUUACUAGAAAAACACUAUAAUAUUUUUAUUGGAAGCCUUAUAAUAAAGUAUUGACAUGUUUGUUUCGGAUUUGUUGCAUUAUUUAUAAUAAUGAAUAACAUAAAUUUUAAUCAAGACAUAAUUGUUAGUAUAAUCAGUGAACUUUUAUCUUUUUAUUGUAUUUAAUUAUAUUUGUACAUUUUUGUAGUAAUAUGUUACUUUUCCAAAAAAUAAAAUAAUUAAAAACAUAUUCAUAUGUUAUUCUCACUUUAUCAGUAAUAUUCAGAAAUUAUUCAGAGUAUAUCUUCACCAAAGAAAACAAAAUUUGCUGAUUAAAUCAUAUAUAUGCUCUUUUCUUCUUUACUUCAAUCUCUAUUUUUAUAUAUUAGUAAUGAUUCUUAAAAUAAAAAAUUUUAAUCAGUUUUUCGAAUAAAUAAAUUUUAUAUUUGUGUUAGAAAAGUUAUUUUCCAGAGAAAGAGAAAAUAAGUAUUUUUUUUAUUUGACUACAAAAUCUGAUAUUAUAUAUUCAAUAGGAACGAUGGCAAGAAAAGGGCAAAUUGUGUGAUCAAAUACAACUCCCUGUAAACAAAGAUGGGUUGUGUGUUGAUUCUGAAUGCCAAAAUAAGUGUCGCGAGUCAAAAGGACCGAAGGGGAUGAGUAAAUGUUUUGGGUCAAAAGCCAAAAAAUCUUUGAAUUUCUAUUGCGGAAUUCCUUGUUAACGUGCUGGUUAAGUAUGGUGAAUAAAUAUGAUGCUUAACUAUGAUAUCGUUGAAGUAUUUUUUUUUCUCAGUUUUUUUUCCUGUACUAGAAAAACACUAUAAUAUUUUUAUUGGAAGCCUUAUAAUAAAGUAUUGAAAUGUUUGUUUCGGAUUUGUUGCAUUAUAUAUAAUAAGGAAUAACAUAAAUUUUAAUCAAG